GCUGGCGGCAUGCUUAACACAUGCAAGUCGCACGGGCAGCAAUGUCAGUGGCGGACGGGUGAGUAACGCGUAGGAACGUGUCCUGAGGUGGGGGACAACCCCGGGAAACUGGGGCUAAUACCGCAUAUGGGCUGAGGCCCAAAGCCGAGAGGCGCCUUUGGAGCGGCCUGCGUCCGAUUAGGUAGUUGGUGGGGUAAAGGCCUACCAAGCCUGCGAUCGGUAGCUGGUCUGAGAGGACGACCAGCCACACUGGGACUGAGACACGGCCCAGACUCCUACGGGAGGCAGCAGUGGGGAAUAUUGGACAAUGGGCGAAAGCCUGAUCCAGCAAUGCCGCGUGGGUGAAGAAGGUCUUCGGAUCGUAAAGCCCUUUCGACGGGGACGAUGAUGACGGUACCCGUAGAAGAAGCCCCGGCUAACUUCGUGCCAGCAGCCGCGGUAAUACGAAGGGGGCUAGCGUUGCUCGGAAUUACUGGGCGUAAAGGGCGCGUAGGCGGCGGCCC
rnacentral:rRNA from 1 species